UACAGAGGGGGCGAAGCGUUGUUCGGAAUUACUGGGCGUAAAGGGCGCGUAGGCGGCCUUCUAAGUCGAACGUGAAAUCCCCGGGCUCAACCCGGGAACUGCGUCCGAUACUGGAAGGCUUGAAUCCGGGAGAGGUGAGUGAAUUCCGAGUGUAGAGGUGAAAUUCGUAGAUAUUCGGAAGAACACCAGUGGCGAAGGCGGCUCACUGGACCGGUAUUGACGCUGAGGUGCGAAAGCGUGGGGAGCAAACAGG
rnacentral:rRNA from 1 species